UGGGGAAUAUUGGACAAUGGGCGCAAGCCUGAUCCAGCCAUGCCGCGUGAGCGAUGAAGGCCCUAGGGUUGUAAAGCUCUUUUGUGCGGGAAGAUAAUGACGGUACCGCAAGAAUAAGCCCCGGCUAACUUCGUGCCAGCAGCCGCGGUAAUACGAAGGGGGCUAGCGUUGCUCGGAAUCACUGGGCGUAAAGGGUGCGUAGGCGGGUCUUUAAGUCAGGGGUGAAAUCCUGGAGCUCAACUCCAGAACGGCCUUUGAUACUGAGGAUCUUGAGUUCGGGAGAGGUGAGUGGAACUGCGAGUGUAGAGGUGAAAUUCGUAGAUAUUCGCAAGAACACCAGUGGCGAAGGCGGCUCACUGGCCCGAUACUGACGCUGAGGCACGAAAGCGUGGGGAGCAAACA
rnacentral:rRNA from 1 species